AUUAGUUCGUGGCACGCGUCGCAACCGAGCUUCGUCCUCUCGUUGAUUGCAGUUAAUUAGAAUAUUUUAUUUAACGUACGCUCUAAUUUUAUAUAUCGAUCGAACGUCGAAAACGCGAUUUUCACGGGUGAAUUUAUCAACAUCGAUCACGCUCAACUACGAAAUAUAUUCUACUGCGUUCCUUAACCUAACAACCAUACAAGCCAUCGUUAUUUUCGAUGAUAGAAUGCGAGAGGUACGACGUCUGGAUUUUCGUCAUCAAUUUUACUUAUUUACAAUAAUAAAUGAUGUUCGACAUAUAACGACGACUGAUCGAAACAACAAGCACGUGGGGAAGCCAUUGAAAAGAUGACGUAACGCGUACGCGCGACGGUCCAUAGCUUCCUUCCUGCCGCCUAAUCCGCCAUUCCAAAUCGUUUCGUGGCACGCGUCGCAACAGAGCUUCGUCCGUUCGUUAAUUGCAGUUAAUUAGAAUAGUUUAUUCAACGUGUACCAUUAUUUUACAUACCGAUCGAACGUCGAAAAAGCGAUAUCCGCGGAAUGGGAGAGGUACGACGUCUGGAUUUUCGUCUUCAAUUUUACUUAUUUACAAUGAGAAAUGGUGUUGGACACACGACGACGAGUGAUCGAAACAACAAGCACGCGGGGAAGCCAUUGCAAAGCUGACGUAACGCGCAUGCUCGACGAUACAGCUUCCUUGUUGCCGCUUAAUCCGCCAUUCUGAAUCAGUUCGUGGCACGUGUCCCAACCAAGCUUCGUCCUCUCGUUAAUUGCAGAAUGGAAGAGGUACGAUGUCCGGAUUAUCAAUUUUACUUACGUACAAUAAGAAGUGAUAUUCGAAACAGGACGACGAGUGGACGUAAAUUCUGUGAAUUUGUUCGUGAGCGUUAACGAUACAGUGUGCCCCGUGUUCCUAGAAAGAAGCAAGAUGGAUUCGGCUAGAGUUCAACAGAAUAGACGUCUUCCAUUUAAGUUUAUACAUUCAUUCUUCGAUUAAGCAGUGUUCUUUCAGCGAAACUUCUUUUAGUAAUUUGCCGUCAGAGUAUAUUUUUUGUUCGAUUGUACAUUUUUUGGGAAGUGCGUUUUAUAUACGUGGAAUAGUUGAUAAUUCGGAAUUCAUUCAAAUUGAUUAACGUUGAUGUAACAUUUCUUUAAUUUUACAUUAGUGGAUUUUACAUGGAUUCUUUCAACCUUCAUCGUCGUCAUGUGAUUAAUAAUCGACAUCAUCAGGAUAGGGAGGAGUUGUGCACGGUCGUCACCGCGCAGUUGAAUCUUUCUAGACGCAACCCACUUUUUAUCGAGCACUUGUUUAUGGUCGAGAUUUGUCUCGUACCAUUUUCUGUGCAUUUACGCUGGUUGCUCUGCCUUCGUCCAGCAUUAUAAAAUAACCGAGGACAUUCUACUCUCCUCCUUAUUUUUUAGACCUGCUUCAGAUGUCGUUAAUUGAUCUCACGUCGAGGACGAUCGAUGGGAAAAUCUAUGUACGCGAACGCGCUUAAUCUACAUUAUUUUAACGAGUCGACGUCCGUCUUGGAAUAUCACUGCGAAAUAAAAAUUGUAGACUUUUCGUCGAUAGUACAUGACAGAACGAAUACUGCUUAAAUCACGGAGUGGAUGUAUCAUUCGACGGAUCGUUUCCUGAUUGCUGUAAUGCGGUUGACAGUUCUUUAGCCAUCGAAAUGUUACAAGCAUGUGGGGAAGCCAUUGCAAAGGUGACGUAAUGCGCAAGCGCAGCGGUCCACAGCCUCCUUGCUGCCUCAGAAUCCACCAUUUUGAAUAAUGAUUGGCACGUGUUAUGACCAAGCUUUUUUCUUGCAGGAUGGAAGAGGUACGAUGUUCGGAUUAUCAAUUUUACUUACGUACAAUAAGAAGUGAUAUUCGAUACAGGACGACGAGUGAUGCGCAAUAGUUAAAAAAUAUUGCUAUUGUCACUGUAAUCUUUUUGGGAACGUUUAGUUAAUUCUAUAUUUACCU